CACGCCCUAAACGAUGCGAACUAGGUGUUGGGGAAGGAGACUUUCUUAGUACCGCAGCUAACGCGUGAAGUUCGCCGCCUGGGGAGUACGGUCGCAAGAUUAAAACUCAAAGGAAUUGACGGGGACCCGCACAAGCGGUGGAUGAUGUGGAUUAAUUCGAUGCAACGCGAAAAACCUUACCUACCCUUGACAUGCCAGGAAGUCUGCUGAGAGGUGGAUGUGCCCGAAAGGGAGCCUGGACACAGGUGC
rnacentral:rRNA from 1 species